UGGAUAACCGUGGUAAUUCUAGAGCUAAUACAUGCUAAAAACCCCGACUUCGGGAGGGGUGUAUUUAUUAGAUAAAAAACCAAUGCCCUUCGGGGCUCCUUGGUGAAUCAUAAUAACUUAACGAAUCGCAUGGCCUUGCGCCGGCGAUGGUUCAUUCAAAUUUCUGCCCUAUCAACUUUCGAUGGUAGGAUAGUGGCCUACCAUGGUAUCAACGGGUAACGGGGAAUUAGGGUUCUAUUCCGGAGAGGGAGCCUGAGAAACGGCUACCACAUCCAAGGAAGGCAGCAGGCGCGCAAAUUACCCAAUCCCGACACGGGGAGGUAGUGACAAUAAAUACUGAUACAGGGCUCUUUUGGGUCUUGUAAUUGGAAUGAGUACAAUUUAAAUCCCUUAACGAGGAACAAUUGGAGGGCAAGUCUGGUGCCAGCAGCCGCGGUAAUUCCAGCUCCAAUAGCGUAUAUUAAAGUUGUUGCAGUUAAAAAGCUCGUAGUUGAACCUUGGGCCUGGCUGGCCGGUCCGCCUCACCGCGUGUACUGGUCCGGCCGGGCCUUUCCUUCUGGGGAGCCGCAUGGCCUUCACUGGCCGUGUCGGGGAACCAGGACUUUUACUUUGAAAAAAUUAGAGUGUUCAAAGCAGGCCUUUGCUCGAAUACAUUAGCAUGGAAUAAUAGAAUAGGACGUGCGAUCCUAUUUUGUUGGUUUCUAGGACCGCCGUAAUGAUUAAUAGGGAUAGUCGGGGGCAUCAGUAUUCAAUUGUCAGAGGUGAAAUUCUUGGAUUUAUUGAAGACUAACUACUGCGAAAGCAUUUGCCAAGGAUGUUUUCAUUAAUCAGUGAACGAAAGUUAGGGGAUCGAAGACGAUCAGAUACCGUCGUAGUCUUAACCAUAAACUAUGCCGUCUAGGGAUCGGUGGAUUUUACU
rnacentral:rRNA from 1 species